GCCGGGUGCGUUGGCAUGUGCCUGUAAUCCAAGUCACUGGGAGGCUGAGGUUGGUGGAUCAAGUGAGCUGAGGAGCUCUGGGCUGCAGCACGCUAUGUCGAACGGGUGUCCACGCCAAGUUCGGUAUAGAUAUGGUGUUCCUGGGGGAGCCCGGGACCACCAGGUUGUCUAAGGAGGGGUGAACCGGCCCAGGUCGGAAACGAAGCAGGUCAAAUCCCCCGUGCUGUCCAGUAGUGGGCUAAUACCUGUGAGUAGAUGCUGCAGUGCAGCCUUGGCAAAACAUUGAGACCUAGUCUUUU
rnacentral:SRP_RNA from 1 species